CUCAAAUGAAUUGACGGGGACCCGCACAAGCAGCGGAGCGUGUGGUUUAAUUCGUUGCUACACGAAGAACCUUACCUGGGUUUGACAUAUAGGUUGUAGGGAACUGAAAGGGACCGACCUUCGGGAGCCUAUACAGGUGUUGCAUGGCUGUCGUCAGCUCGUGUCGUGAGAUGUUCGGUUAAGUCCGCUAACGAGCGCAACCCUCGUCGUAUGUUAUAUGUGUCAUACGAGACUGCCGGUAAAAGCCGGAGGAAGGUGAGGAUGAUGUCAAGUCAGCAUGACCUUUAUAUCCAGGGCUACACACACGCUACAAUGGUCUGUACAAUGGGUAGCCAAGCCGCGAGGCGGAGCCAAUCCUGAAAGCAGGCCUCAGUUCAGAUUGCAGUCUGCAACUCGACCGCAUGAAGCCGGAGUUGCUAGUAACCGCAGGUCAGCAAUACUGCGGUGAAUACGUUCCCGGGCCUU
rnacentral:rRNA from 1 species